ACACGGGGGCAGCAGUGGGGAAUAUUGGGCAAUGGGCGCAAGCCUGACCCAGCAACGCCGCGUGAAGGAAGAAGGCUUUCGGGUUGUAAACUUCUUUUCUCAGGGACGAAGAAAGUGACGGUACCUGAGGAAUAAGCCACGGCUAACUACGUGCCAGCAGCCGCGGUAAUACGUAGGUGGCAAGCGUUAUCCGGAUUUACUGGGUGUAAAGGGCGUGUAGGCGGGACUGCAAGUCAGAUGUGAAAACCACGGGCUCAACCUGUGGCCUGCAUUUGAAACUGUAGUUCUUGAGUACUGGAGAGGCA
rnacentral:rRNA from 1 species